GCAGCCGCGGUAAUACGUAGGUGGCAAGCGUUGUCCGGAUUUACUGGGUGUAAAGGGCGUGUAGGCGGGUCAGCAAGUCAGAUGUGAAAUCCCGGGGCUCAACUCCGGAACUGCAUCUGAAACUGUUGAUCUUGAGUACUGGAGAGGAAAGUGGAAUUCCUAGUGUAGCGGUGAAAUGCAUAGAGAUUAGGAGGAACACCAGUGGCGAAGGCGGCUUUCUGGACAGUAACUGACGCUGAGGCGCGAAAGCGUGGGGAGCAAACAGGAUUAGAUACCCC
rnacentral:rRNA from 1 species